rnacentral:rRNA from 1 species
GAUGAACGCUAGCUACAGGCUUAACACAUGCCAGUCGAGGGGAAACGCCAUCGAAAGCUUGCUUUUGAUGGGCGUCGACCGGCGCACGGGUGAGUAACGCGUAUCCAACCUGCCCAUCACUUGGGGAUAACCUUGCGAAAGUAAGACUAAUACCCAAUGAUAUCUCUAGAAGACAUCUGAAAGAGAUUAAAGAUUUAUCGGUGAUGGAUGGGGAUGCGUCUGAUUAGCUUGUUGGCGGGGUAACGGCCCACCAAGGCAACGAUCAGUAGGGGUUCUGAGAGGAAGGUCCCCCACAUUGGAACCGAGGCACGGUCCAAACUCCUACGGGAGGCAGCAGUGAGGAAUAUUGGUCAAUGGGCGAGGGCCUGAACCAGCCAAGUAGCGUGCAGGAAGACGGCCCUAUGGGUGGUAAACUGCUUUUAUAAGGGAAUAAAGUGAGAGUCGUGACUCUUUUUGUAUGUACCUUAUGAAUAAGGACCGGCUAAUUCCGUG